rnacentral:rRNA from 1 species
AGCGAACGCUGGCGGCGUGCCUAACACAUGCAAGUCGAACGUGAACGGGGGCAACCCCUAGUAAAGUGGCGUACGGGUGAGUAACGCGUAGGUAAUCUACCCCAGAGUCUGGGAUAACCUGCCGAAAGGCGGGCUAAUACUGGAUAGAGCGAGGGAACUCGUCAUUGAGUGUUUCGGGAAAGGGAGGAAGCAAUGCCCCUUGCUUUGGGAUGAGCCUGCGUCUCAUUAGCUAGUUGGUAGGGUAGCGGCCGACCAAGGCGAUGAUGGGUAGCUGGUCUGAGAGGAUGAUCAGCCACACUGGAACUGAAACACGGUCCAGACUCCUACGGGAGGCUGCAGUGGGGAAUCUUGCGCAAUGGAGGAAACUCUGACGCAGCCACGCCGCGUGAGUGAAGAAGGCCUUCGGGUUGUAAAGCUCUGUCGAGCGGGACGAACAUCCAUUGGGUUAACAGCCCAGUGGACUGACGGUACCGCUAAAGGAAGCACCGGCUAACUUUGUGCCAGCAGCCGCAGUAAUAC